AACGAACGCUGGCGGCAUGCCUAACACAUGCAAGUCGAACGAGACCUUCGGGUCUAGUGGCGCACGGGUGCGUAACGCGUGGGAACCUGCCCUUAGGUUCGGAAUAACUCCCCGAAAGGGGUGCUAAUACCGGAUAAUGUCUUCGGACCAAAGAUUUAUCGCCUUUGGAUGGGCCCGCGUUGGAUUAGCUAGUUGGUAGGGUAAAAGCCUACCAAGGCGACGAUCCAUAGCUGGUCUGAGAGGAUGAUCAGCCACACUGGGACUGAGACACGGCCCAGACUCCUACGGGAGGCAGCAGUGGGGAAUAUUGGACGAUGGGCGAAAGCCUGAUCCAGCAAUGCCGCGUGAGUGAUGAAGGCCUUAGGGUUGUAAAGCCCUUUUACCCGGGAUGAUAAUGACAGUACCGGGAGAAUAAGCUCCGGCUAACUCCGUG
rnacentral:rRNA from 1 species